AUGCAAUUUUUGGUGGUAAUUACAGGUAUGUUCGUGGGUUACGUAUUUGAUCAUGACGCAGCCAACGCCACAAGAGCAAAAAGCGGCAUUCGGAUGUUUACUGCGAGCUGCACUAUCAUGUUGGAAUAUUGGUAACUUCAAUGGUGCAAUGGAAAUCACAACUGGUCUGAGAAGAAAGUACUUAUCAAGAUACUAAAUUUGUAUAAAUAAACCACCUCUGGCGAAGAAACGCUGUAUGGUGCACGAUGUAAGUAGGCACAAAUUUGAUAAUUGCAGCAUCCAAAGUCUUGUGCAGCAAGUUCACUUUCUCAGUGAUUGUCUUUCCUUGGAAUAAUUCGGUGAAAUUUAUAUUUGCUAAGUAUGCAUUCAUGUCCCUGUAGUUGGCCCGCUUGAAGUUGAAUGCUUUAGUUGUAAUGUUAGUUUCAGUCGUGUUUGUACCAUGCCAUUCAAACGUAGCCAUUAUCGGUGGAUGGUGAUCUUCUACUUUUUUCUUCAAUGCGUUAGAUUCAUCGACGCGCUCAAUCGAAACAUUGGUGAAAUCAUUAGUGAAGAACAAAUCCAAGAGACGUUUCUUUGACUGAUUACACACAUGAUUUACCUGUUGAACGCCCAAGCUCAUGAGUCCCUGGAUAAAAGUGGCCGUGUACUCAGGUGCAAAUUUAGUUGGAAUCAUGACGUUGUUGUCGUCGCUAUCAGUCGACCAUUCCACAUGCGGAAGAUUAAAAUCACCAACAAAAAUAAGAACAUCUUCUGGAUCAGAUGCUAUUUGAUGCAUGGCCGCCAAGUGUGAGUCGUAGAUUGAUUGUGGUGAACUUGGUGGAAUGUAAGCACAAUAUAUGUAAAUGACGUGUGAUUUAGUAGUAGCUUUCACACAAACGUAUUCCAGAUCGUCAGCACCAGCAAUUUUAAUUUCUUCAGUGGAAAAUCUGUCGUUUUUGGUUGCAAUUGGUACACCUCCGCCGCGUUGAAAAUGUCUGUCCCUACGAUAAACAGAAUAUGAAUCGUCAAAAAAUUCAGCGUCAUAAAUAUCAUUUCUGAGCCAUGUCUCAGUUAAAAUUAUCAUAUCGUAAUCGUUAGAAGUGGCGGCGCAGUAGAAUCGGUAUUCUUCAGGACAAAUACUGUGACAGUUCUGGUUUUAUGUGAAGAAGAGAAGAAAAACAUAAACAAUGGAUAACUCUUCUUAGAAAUUCUACUACACAGUGCCACACAGUGGGUUUGUGCAAUAACUAAUUCACCAAAAAUGGUUCCCUUAUAAAAAAAUGUUCAAUCAGUAUCAUAUUGAUACUGUUAAGAAGAAGAGUUGCUUUAUGAAAUUUUUUUAGUGAGAAAUUCUCAAAUAUUAAGAAUAUAGAUAAAUUCCGCGUAUCAUCCUCCACAACUAUAAGUACAAAUUAUAUACUAACAUUGUACAAAAUCCAAGGCGGUGUUAAAUAUGAAUAAAAAUGAAAAGUUACU